AGCCUCAUUCUAGAUUAGAGUGGGCACUGUUGAUUGGUGUCCAAAAUUGGUCGGUGUGGCUGAAAUUGAGAUACAGGGAAUGCUUCCAUCACAAUAAAUGUUUACAUUGGUGACAGUGAGACAUUUUGGCUAAU
rfam:Cavia porcellus supercont2_9 genomic scaffold, whole genome shotgun sequence.